GGAAGAUACCGUAGUAUGUCAAAACCACGGGCUUAAGGGGCUGAAGAAGAGUUGCCAGAUACUGUUUCGAACAGGCUUUAUUUAUUUUUUUAUUGGCGUGAAAGACCGCCGAGUGAGCCAUAUUCUGUACUGCUGGCCCUCCAAACUCUGGUUCCGUAUCUGUGGACUCAGCCCACCAUGGAUGGUUCUGUGCUUCCUUCUUUCAAGAUGAACAGAAAUCAUGUCCCUGCUGGAGCUGGACAGCAUUUCUGCCUAUCACACCUGUGAGCAGUGUUUAUGGCUUCCAGACAAGGUCAAAGCUGCAAAGCCUACAUGACAGCUGGGCUGCCUUCCCCAGCCCAGUCUCUCCCCUCGACUUGUUGGCACGGUCUUUCAACCUCCAGAUUGCGUGUGUUUGGUUCAGUUGAAAACAAAACAAACCACAGUCACACUUCACCUUUGCUUGUCUGUUUUGCAGAAUGAAGCUUCCAAGGGGCCGGCCUUCACCCUACCUGGCUCAGAGAACAGUAGUGUGGGGGGUCAGUGAAAAGGAACUGCAAAGUAGACUUGGGAGCUGGCAUGAGGGCUGACUUCCUUCCAAUAAGCCUAAAACAUCUUUGCACAAUCCCACAGAGCCAAGCUCCUUGCCACCAGCUCCUAGGUCAGUCAUUUGACAUGCUGUCCUUAGAGCAGGCCUCUACAUGGUAUGCAUUUC